UAUUUUUUCAGUCAUUGGAAAUGAUCUUUGGUGUAAUCUGCAUGCAUUUGUGAUAAAUUAACCGAAAUCAGUUCGUGAUUUUGAAUAACGUUAUUCGAGUAACCGAAUUCAUUUCGGUUCGUGAAUAACGUUAUUCGAGUAACCGAAUUCAUUUCGAUUCCUGAAUAACGUUAUUCGAGUAACAGAAAUCAUUUCGGUUAUAACGUUAUUGAUGCCUG